CUUUAAUUUUUCCCUCUUUCUUUCUUUCUUUCUUUCUUUCUUUUUUCUUUCUUAUAUACCUAUUUCUCCAUGUUAACACUCAGGGCUCCAUGCAGGAAUUGUGCUCUUGCUCCUCUGCACGGUUUCCAUGGAAACCUAAAGCAGCAAUUGGGCUCUAAAAAUAGUGUCGUUAUCAGUGUAAAAUCUGGAGGCACCUAUUUAUGUAUUCGGUGCAUGAAUGAAGAAUUAAAGUGUUCUCGGCAUGGAGGAGCGGCCCAGCAUGAGGUAUGGAAAGAUAACCAUCAAUCAGUUGUCAAUUGGUCAAUUGCAGAAGUGAUGAAAAGAAAAGGAUGGAAAAAUCCUCUCUCUCUCUGCAGUUACCUAGAGGAGAGCGGGAAUGAGUGAAAACAUGGAGGCUGGAGUGAGAAAAAUGGAGGGGAUCCAGAGCACAGAUGCGCGCAGAGAGAGAAUGAGAAAGCGAAAGAGAGAGGAAGCGGAGAGAGAGCGGGCAGCGGAGCGCGGCUUGGCCGGGAGAGGAGCACCGGAGGGCGGCUACGGCUCACAGGAUUCCCCGUUGUACCAGUGGAGGAUGUUUAAUGGAUGCUCCGUGCUGACGGUAAAAUAUGCUAAUUAUAUAUAGGCUAUAUAUGCGGAAUAUAACAAAGCGCAUAGGCUACUACACUACUGAAUAUACAUACAGCCGAAUUAACGAAUAUAACAUUUACUAUUAAACAUAAUAUACACUUCCUGUAAACGCUGAUUUCAUUCUGUUAUUUGGGAAAGUUGCUGAUGUUUGCUUUAGCCUAACCUUUACUCUGUUUUAUAUUCCAUACCGUUAUGACAUCUAUAUUGUGUAGAUAAUUGUAAUAAUAUCAUAAAUAGCUUAUGGCUCAAAUAGGCUAACAAUUAGAAUUUCAAUUGUAAU
ensembl:lncRNA